UACGUAGGGGGCUAGCGUUGUCCGGAAUCAUUGGGCGUAAAGGGCGCGUAGGCGGCCGACCAAGUCGGGUGUGAAAUCCCUCGGCUCAACCGAGGAACUGCACUCGAUACUGGUUGGCUAGAGUCCGGGAGGGGAUGGUGGAAUUCCCAGUGUAGCGGUGAAAUGCGUAGAUAUUGGGAAGAACACCGGUGGCGAAGGCGGCCAUCUGGACCGGAACUGACGCUGAGGCGCGAAAGCCAGGGGAGCGAAUGGG
rnacentral:rRNA from 1 species